rnacentral:rRNA from 1 species
UACGUAGGGGGCAAGCGUUGUCCGGAUUUAUUGGGCGUAAAGAGCGUGUAGGCGGCCAGGUAGGUCCGCUGUGAAAACUCGAGGCUCAACCUCGAGAUGUCGGCGGAAACCAUCUGGCUAGAGUCCGGAAGAGGAGAGUGGAAUUCCUGGUGUAGCGGUGAAAUGCGCAGAUAUCAGGAGGAACGCCGGUGGCGAAGGCGGCAUCCUGGACCAACACUGACGCUGAUGAGCGAAAGCCAGGGGAGCAAACGGG